AGAUUGAACGCUGGCGGCAGGCCUAACACAUGCAAGUCGAGCGGUAGAGAGGUGCUUGCAUCUCUUGAGAGCGGCGGACGGGUGAGUAAUGCCUAGGAAUCUGCCUAGUGGUGGGGGAUAACGUUCGGAAACGGACGCUAAUACCGCAUACGUCCUACGGGAGAAAGGCGGGGGACCUUCGGGCCUCGCGCCAUUAGAUGAGCCUAGGCCGGAUUAGCUAGUUGGUGAGGUAAUGGCUCACCAAGGCGACGAUCCGUAACUGGUCUGGAGAGGAUGAUCAGUCACACUGGAACUGAGACACGGUCCAGACUCCGUACGGGAGGCAGCAGGUAGGGGAAAUAGUUGGAACAAGUGGGACGAAAGCCUGAUCCAGCCAUCGCCGCGUUGUGUAGAAGAAGGUUCGUUACGGAUUAGUAAAGCUAAGUUUAAGGUGGGAGGUAAGGGUUGUAAACCUUAAGUACGUUGACUAA
rnacentral:rRNA from 1 species